rnacentral:lncRNA from 1 species
CGCCAUUUAUUUUCAAUCUCAUCCACUGAACUUUCUCUAGCUUAAUUCAAAGAAAGUGAUUUUUUUAUAUACAGUUUAGACAAGUUUUGCAAAAAAAAUUUGAUAGAAAAGAUAAUGGUUAUUACCGCUGGGUUGCUUGUUACGCCUCUAACUCCACUCUCGAUCAGAGGAAUCAGGUCCGUCACAGGCCUGCAGAGGUUGUCAUACCAUGGACUCUGCCCCUCCCGUUCAUAAAGAUCAUGAAGAGUGGUUCUCUUUAUUGGGCUACCAUUUCCACUGGAUUGAGAACACCUGACACUGUGAUAAGAUCUCGUUAAAUGGAAACUGAGCAGGGUCCAUAAUCAUCAAAACAGAAAAGGAAAGAGAUUGAAUAACCAGCAAAAGCCAUGCAUACAAUAUAACCCAAUCCUUUCUUAUUUAAGCAUCAGAUCGAAGACCAAGAAAUUCCAUAUCGCAAUAUUAGAACAUAUCGACAAUGUAUUAUUUAAGCAUCAGUUCCAGCAUCACUUUGUACAUGAUAGUACUUCUUGGCUUAAAUAAGAGACAGAUCCCUGGAAGAUGCAUUAAGCAAGGUAUAAUAAAGCAUAUGAAACUAGGAACUGUGUCAUGUUUUCAUAAGAAACCAAAAAUCAAAAAGUUGAUCAUCGGCAUAUAAAAAGAAAGAUCAGAAGGCGAAACCAAGCAAAGACAUGAAAGCUAGGAUGAUCACCGCCAAAUAAACCCAGAUGAAAAAGGAAAGAUCAUGAAGAGAACAUAGAUAUUGAAGUAAAAAUACUUACACCAAGGAGGUCCUGGGGGACGGUUGGGUGUUCUUCAAGGACAGCCUAACUUUGGAGAGAGAAGUUUUGGUACUGAAACCGAGGAAGACUUUAGGCAAGGAAGAAGAUCUAGAAGGAGCUGAGAGGGAGGCUGCGGGGCUUGGAUUUGAGAGCUUUGAAAUGGUAGCCAUGGUGAUUCAGAGAGAGAGAGAGGCAGAGAGGGC